UAAAAUACGAACGGCUCCUCCUCCUCCCUGAGCCGAUCGUUUCGGCGGAACCCUCCUCCUCCUCCCUGAGGGUUCCGCCAUUCAGAUACCGGACCCCCUCCUCCUCCCUUGGGGCAUCC
rnacentral:sRNA from 16 species